CUUAAAUGAGAUUCGAUCGCGUCCAGAUCGAUUUUCGGCAUCGCUGUUUCGAUAUUGUAGACAUCGAAGCCGCCUUCCAUGGAAAAAAAAUCACAAAUUCGCAACACGAUGAAUAUUGCACGGUAAUAUUGCUGAUUUUACUCGUGUACACCGUGUGAAAUUUGAAGAGGGACGAGCAUGAGAAUACUCGGGAGGAAGAAGCGUAAAUGAGAAGGCAUCGUGAAAGGCAUCGUGUCACGUAUAAUAGAUACAGUCGAGGUGCUUUUAUUGUCCUAGAGAUUACGCUAAUCGUGCUGGCUUCCUGCGUGAAAAACGACAAGAAAAUUUGAUUCUGAUUA